AUACGUAGGUGGCAAGCGUUGUCCGGAAUUACUGGAUGUAAAGGGAGCGUAGGCGGGUGCUUAAGUUGAAUGUUAAAACGAUCGGCUCAACCGGUCGAUGCGUUCAAAACUGAGUAUCUUGAGUGAAGUAGAGGCAGGCGGAAUUCCCGGUGUAGCGGUGGAAUGCGUAGAUAUCGGGAGGAACACCAGUGGCGAAGGCGGCCUGCUGGGCUUUAACUGACGCUGAGGCUCGAAAGCAUGGGGAGC
rnacentral:rRNA from 1 species